GAUGAAGAACGUAGCGAAAUGCGAUAAGUAAUGUGAAUUGCAGAAUUCAGUGAAUCAUCGAAUCUUUGAACGCACAUUGCGCCCCUUGGUAUUCCGAGGGGCAUGCCUGUUCGAGCGUCAUUAUAACCCCUCAAGCUCAGCUUGGUGUUGGGGCCUGCUGCACUGGCAGCCCUUAAAAUCAGUGGCGGCGCCAUCUGGCUCUAGCGUAGUAAUUCUUCUCGCUAUGGAGUCCUGGUGGAUGCUUGCCAUCAACCCCCAAUUUUUCUAUGGUUGACCUCGGAUCAGGUAGGGAUACCCGCUGAACUUAAGCAUAUCAAUAAGCGGAGGA
rnacentral:misc_RNA from 1 species